rnacentral:rRNA from 1 species
UACGGGGGGAGCAAGCGUUGUUCGGAUUUACUGGGCGUAAAGGGCGCGUAGGCGGUCGUGACAAGUCACUUGUGAAAUCUCCGGGCUUAACUCGGAACGGUCAAGUGAUACUGUCGGACUAGAGUGCAGAAGGGGCAACUGGAAUUCUCGGUGUAGCGGUGAAAUGCGUAGAUAUCGAGAGGAACACCUGCGGCGAAGGCGGGUUGCUGGGCUGACACUGACGCUGAGGCGCGAAAGCUAGGGGAGCGAACGGG